UACGUAGGGACCAAGCGUUGUUCGGAUUUACUGGGCGUAAAGGGCGCGUAGGCGGCGUGGUAAGUCACUUGUGAAAUCUCUGAGCUUAACUCAGAACGGCCAAGUGAUACUGCUGUGCUAGAGUGCAGAAGGGGCAAUCGGAAUUCUUGGUGUAGCGGUGAAAUGCGUAGAUACCAAGAGGAAUACCUGAGGCGAAGGCGGGUUGCUAGGCUGACACUGACGCUGAGGCGCGAAAGCCAGGGGAGCAAACGGG
rnacentral:rRNA from 1 species